rnacentral:rRNA from 1 species
AAUGAACGCUGGCGGCAUGCCUAACACAUGCAAGUCGAACGAGACCACCGGGACUAGUGGCGCAUGGGUGUGUCACGCGUGGGAACCUGCACUUAGGUAUGGAAUAACUCUCCGAAAGGGGUGCUAACACCGGAUAAUGUCUUCGGACCAAAGAUUUGUCGAACUUGGAUGGGCACGCGUUGGAUUAGCUAGUUGGUAGGGUAAAAGCCUACCAAGGCGACGAUCCAUAGCUGGGCAGAGAGGAUGAUCAGCCACACUGGGACUGAGACACGGCCCAGACUCCUACGGGAUGCAGCAAUGGGUGAUAUAGGACAGUCGGCUAAGGCCUGAACCAGCAAGGCCGGUAAAGUUAUGAAGGUCUGAAAGUAGUAAAGCUCUUUUACCCGGGAUGAUAAUGACGGUACCGGAAGAAUAAGCUCCGGCUAACUCCGUG